CUUAACCUACAGACUGCGUUUGAAACUGUAUAUCUUGAGAGCAGCAGGGGAAGGCGGAAUUCCUGGUGUAGUGGUGAAAUACGUAGAUAUCAGGAAGAACACCAGUGGCGAAGGCGGUCUUCUGGGCUGCAUCUGACGCUCAUGUACGAAAGCUGGGGUAGCGAACGGGAUUAGAUACCCCGGUAGUCCCAGCUGUAAACGAUGGACACUAGGUGUUGGAGGUUCGAAUCCUUCAGUGCCGGAGUUAACGCAUUAAGUGUCCCGCCUGGGGAAUACGGUCGCAAGACUGAAACUCAAAGGAAUUGACGGGGGCCCGCACAAGCGGUGGAGCAUGUGGUUUAAUUCGAUGCAACGCGAAGAACCUUACCGAGAAUUGACAUCCCGUGACUACCUGUGAGAGCAGGGUUUAGUGUUUACACUACAC
rnacentral:rRNA from 1 species